rnacentral:rRNA from 1 species
CCUACGGGUGGCAGCAGUGGGGAAUAUUGGACAAUGGGCGAAAGCCUGAUCCAGCCAUGCCGCGUGUGUGAAGAAGGCCUUCGGGUUGUAAAGCACUUUCAGUGGGGAAGAAAGCCUUGGGGCUAAUACCCUCGAGGAAGGACAUCACCCACAGAAGAAGCACCGGCUAACUCCGUGCCAGCAGCCGCGGUAAUACGGAGGGUGCGAGCGUUAAUCGGAAUUACUGGGCGUAAAGCGCGCGUAGGCGGUCUGAUAAGCCGGUUGUGAAAGCCCCGGGCUCAACCUGGGAACGGCAUCCGGAACUGUCAGGCUAGAGGGCAGGAGAGGAAGGUAGAAUUCCCGGUGUAGCGGUGAAAUGCGUAGAGAUCGGGAGGAAUACCAGUGGCGAAGGCGGCCUUCUGGACUGACACUGACGCUGAGGUGCGAAAGCGUGGGUAGCAAACAGGAUUAGAUACCCGAGUAGUC